rnacentral:rRNA from 1 species
UACGAAGGGUGCAAACGUUUGCUCGGAAUUAUUGGGCGUAAAGCGCACGUAGGCGGCUUAGCAAGUCGGAAGUGAAAAUCCCUCGGCUCAACCAAGGAAGUGCUUUCGAAACUGCUGAGCUUGAGUACUUAAGAGGAUCGCGGAAUUCCCGGUGUAGAGGUGAAAUUCGUAGAUAUCGGGGAGGAACACCAGUGGCGAAGGCGGCGAUCUGGGAAGAUACUGACGCUGAGGUGCGAAAGCGUGGGGAGCAAACAGG